ensembl:snoRNA
UAUCUAUGAUGAUCCUAUCCCGAAACUGAACUCCUGUUGAAAAAAACUUAAUUACGGAUCUGGCUUCUGAGAU